rnacentral:rRNA from 1 species
GAUGAACGCUGGCGGCGUGCCUAAUACAUGCAAGUCGAGCGAACAGACGAGGAGCUUGCUCCUCUGACGUUAGCGGCGGACGGGUGAGUAACACGUGGAUAACCUACCUAUAAGACUGGGAUAACUUCGGGAAACCGGAGCUAAUACCGGAUAAUAUAUUGAACCGCAUGGUUCAAUAGUGAAAGACGGUUUUGCUGUCACUUAUAGAUGGAUCCGCGCCGCAUUAGCUAGUUGGUAAGGUAACGGCUUACCAAGGCAACGAUGCGUAGCCGACCUGAGAGGGGGGGGGGGCACACGGGAACUGUGACCGGGUCGAGACUACUGCGGGAGGGCGCAGGGGGGAGUCUUCCAAAAGGGGCCAAGGCCUGAAGGAGCAAGGCAGGGUGAGUGAUGAAGGUUUUAGGAUCGUAAAACUGUGUUAUUAGGAAAAAACAAAUGUGUAAGUAACUACGCACGUCUUGACGCUACCUAAAAAGAAAGCCACGCCUACCUACGUG